rnacentral:rRNA from 1 species
UACGAGGGGUGCUAGCGUUAUUCGGAAUUACUGGGCGUAAAGGGUGCGUAGACGGCGUAUUAAGUUUGUUGUUAAAUUCUUCGGCCUAACCGAAGGUCAGCGAUGAAAACUGGUAUGCUAGAGGAUGAGAGAGAGAAGUGGAAUUCCCGGAGUAGCGGUAAUAUGCGUAGAUCUCGGGAGGAACACCGAUGGCGAAGGCAACUUCUUGGCUCAUUUCUGACGUUGAGGCACGAAAGUGUGGGGAGCAAACAGG